GCAAGUCGAGCGCUACCUUCGGGUGGAGCGGCGGACGGGUUAGUAACGCGUGGGGACAUACCCUUCUCUACGGAAUAGCCUCGGGAAACUGAGAGUAAUACCGUAUAAGCCCUUCGGGGGAAAGAUUUAUCGGUGAAGGAUUGGCCCGCGUAAGAUUAGAUAGUUGGUGGGGUAAUGGCCUACCAAGCCUACGAUCUAUAGCUGGUUUGAGAGGAUGAUC
rnacentral:rRNA from 1 species